rnacentral:rRNA from 1 species
GUGGGGAAUUUUGGACAAUGGGCGCAAGCCUGAUCCAGCAAUGCCGCGUGCAGGAAGAAGGCCUUCGGGUUGUAAACUGCUUUUGUACGGAACGAAACGGUCCUGGCUAAUAUCCGGGGCUAAUGACGGUACCGUAAGAAUAAGCACCGGCUAACUACGUGCCAGCAGCCGCGGUAAUACGUAGGGUGCGAGCGUUAAUCGGAAUUACUGGGCGUAAAGCGUGCGCAGGCGGUGCUGUAAGACAGGCGUGAAAUCCCCGGGCUCAACCUGGGAAUUGCGCUUGUGACUGCAGUGCUGGAGUGCGGCAGAGGGGGAUGGAAUUCCGCGUGUAGCAGUGAAAUGCGUAGAUAUGCGGAGGAACACCGAUGGCGAAGGCAAUCCCCUGGGCCUGCACUGACGCUCAUGCACGAAAGCGUGGGGAGCAAACAGGAUUAGAUACCCCAGUAGUCC